rnacentral:lncRNA from 1 species
UUCUGAUUUCUUUGUACUUUAAUUAAUGCAAACACUUGAAUGGUAAAUAUGUGGUUCGUAUAUACGGGCUCACUGUAACACCACGCAGGGCAGACAGAGAUCUGGUAUGACAUUACAAGUUCUUCCUUAAAUACUGGACAGACUUAGUUCCCUCUCCCUGAGGGCCUGUCAUAGUAGAGGCUAGAAUAUGGUUUAGACUUAUUCCAGCCUAUCGUUGGCGUGCAGGUUGGUCCCAACCUCUAGACGCACUCCAGCUUCCUGGCGGAUGUCUCAUCUUGUGACUGCACAAUGCACAGUUCUCUAAAACCCUUACACCCCCAUGCACAUACAUUUCACCCAUAUCCUGUUAUUGCUGUUGUUCAGCAAAAGCUCUUGCAAAACCCUGUUUUAAAGCAUCAGUAUUCUUUCCACAUGACCCACCAUCACAUGAGCCACUUCCUCUUAACAUAUAGCAGUACUCAAUUAUCUAUAGUUUAUAUACUUCAUAUUAUAGCAUAGCUGCUCUGUUAUUUUAUAUAGGUUAUGCUAACAAAUAGUUGGUCAAACCCUAACAAUCCCCCUUUUCACACCUGAUAGGUGUGAAUACAUAAGUUCUUAAAAUUUCAGGGAAAUUUUGAGAUUCCCCCUUUGACACCCCCCUAGGGUGUCACUCAACACAAUUGUAAAUUUUCGAUUUAAUGAUUAAAUGAUUAGUUUAAAAAACCCUCAAGUCCUUCCGGCUACACCUCACUUGUACUAGGUUCACUACCAGUCACCCAGGAACUUCAAACCCUCACAUCAGGAAAGACAAAUAGUACACAGGAUAAAUUCAGAACAUAUUAUUUAAAAAACGUAUAAAAAGAGGACCUUCUUAUGGCAGGGGCUACACCUAACAUGUGUGGGACAGACUCUUUGUCCCAGAACUUAAAACCCUUCACAUCCACCUGCCACUACAUUCAACACAUAUAAGAACAUUUUGGAUAAGCUUUAUUCAAUCACUUCCUCAACAGCAAACCAAGGACCAUUGCCCAGAGCUGGAUUCAGUGUCCUCUGGGGUCACUUCCAUCAAAGGCAUCAUUCCGGUUGCCCAUCUGCUCCGUUAUCAAUCUCUCCAGAACCCUGGAAAUGAGACCUCUCGCACACGGGACCAAACAACAACCACACAACACAAACACAAUCAUACAGGUGAAAGCAGCCCAUAACAACACUUUUCCAUUUCCCAAACAUGAGCUGUGUUAUCAGGAAUGUACGUGCAGCAAUGAACCUAAUCAAUCUACCUACACCAUCCUCUUUUGCCAGUAACAUAUCGAGAGUCAGUCUAUUUUACCAGGUCAUGAGGGAGGUGGUGGAUAAUUGGUCAGAGAACCUCUUUACUGCAUCCCCGGUUUCAUUCAUGAAUCUCUGUUGAUUAUAAAAGAUGUCAUUAAUCCCAUCCACAUUUUUAUUUAUUGUCAACUACCAUAAUAAUGUAGUGUUAAAGCCUUCACAUAUUUGAUUCAUAGCUUUGUAUUCAUCUGGAACUUCCCUGUGGAUGCCAAUAGCAUCCAUCUAGACAAAGCUACUCCCAUCCUGGUCAAAACUCCUCCUGUGUCUACUUUAGCCUCCUAUAACUGGCCUCUGAUGACUAACUUGAACUGGUUGGACCAAUAAACCCGGGGCGCAAGCUCCUAACCACCCUUUGUGGUAAUUUCUGUCGUAUGCGUCCUUUGCUGGUACUAGCCCACCCAACAUCAGUUAUAGGUGCUGUGAGGUUAAGCAUUUUCUAUUCAUCUUUCAAACCUAAGUCAGUCACAUUAACAAUUACUUUCCAGCUAUUAAAAUCAUCCAAGUUCUCGGUGCCAUUCUUGUAUCUAUAACACUGGUACUCAUCAGGAGUUAAGGUGAACCUAGGAAGUUGUUUAAUGUUUACCUUAAAUCCUACAUCUUGAUCUUCUUUGACUCCUUAUUAUGUAAGUCACUCAUCAGUGUAUUAUAUAGUUUAUCUUUUACUUCUUCUCGAUGACAACGGUAUCGUUUGAUUAGUACCGGAAUCUGGUGGAUCUGAAUGUAUCAGAAAGAUUAGACUAUGAUGCAGCUCAGAGUCUCUACUCUUCCCAAAAACCGCCAACCCUCUCCUGCCCUUAGUCUCUCUGCUUGGUACCACCCCAUACUCACACCUCUAGGAGCACACACAGUGAUGAACGGUCGGGAUAGGGAAUCUUCGUUAAGGAGGUGACCCCCGGACCCUGUUGGUACUCGGUUCUUCUCCUAACUCUGUGUGUGAUCAGCAGUGCUCAUAUGUGUACAUACCUUCUUGCAGUGGGUAACGUGGACCCAAGUGACUCUCUCAGCUUUUCUAAUGGCAAAGGCAGUGGUUUAACAGAACCUGGUAUGGGCCUUCCCCACGGGGCUGCUUCCUGUCUUUUCUCCUCAGGGACUGGAUCCACACCCAGUCUCCUGGUUGGAUUGAGUGAAUCACCUUCUCCUGUAAUUCACCUGUUGGACACAAAAUCUUGGACAUACGGGUUUGGUUAACAAACAGUCUUCUCAUGUGCUCUGCUAGUAUAUCUUUAACUUCUAUGUCUACCUGUUCCGGUAUCUCUAACUCUGGUAUUCUAUAGGCUCUACCUGAUUAUCUAAAAUGUCAUCCAUCAUUUAAAGAGAUAGAUAAUAGUAAACCAACACUAGGGAUAAUAUCUUGACCUCAUUUUUUUUUUACCAUAAUCAUGUCCACCAAGUAAGUUGGGAACGCUUCUACCCAUUUGCUAUGCUUAUCUGUUAUUGUUAAACACCCCUUCUUCCCCUCAAUUCGGAAUAGUUCAAUAAGUCCAUUUCCAAAUGUUGGAAUGGAUAUUCUACAAAAAAAUAAUUUGUUUAAGUAAUAUGUUCUUGUUUAAGUAAUUAUCCUAACCUGUUCUAUUGCCUGCUCUACCAUACUCCCCCUAUUUAUACAUGGCUCAAGCCAUGUAUCAAUUUUGCUGCAUAUCUAGACAGUGUCUUUGGUAAGGUUAUUAAAUUAUCCUUAUGUCCGCCCUUCUCUUGUAGGAUUGCCCCCUUGUCACGUCCUGGCCAGUAUAAGGUCAAUUGGUAUUGUAGUUUGGUCAGGACGUGGCAGAGGGUAUUCGUUUUAUGUGGUUCGGGGUGGUGUGUUUGUUGAAGGGGCAUUUGAUUUAAGUAUUCCGGGGUUUUUGGGCACUGUUUGGUUUUCAGGUAUUCUAUGUUUAGUCUAGUAUGUCUGUUUCUAUGUUUGGUUAAUUGGGGUUGGGACUCUCAGUUGAAGGCAGGUGUUGUCUAUCUGCCUUUGAUUGAGAGUCCCAUAUAUUAGGUGUGUUUGUUAUUUGUGGGAGAUUGUUCUGUGUUGAGCCUUAUGCUUUGCAGACUGUCAGUCGAUCGUUAUUUCUGUUUGUUAUUUUGGUGUUCAUUUUGUAUUCAUUAAAACGUCGAGAUGAGCAUUCACAUACCUGCUGCGUUUUGGUCCUCUUUAACCGACGACAAGCGUGACACCCCUUUCAUUUUCCACAUGUCCAAUUCUCCCUGGGGCAUUCAUCCUUAGCUACCCUGUAACAAUUCUCUGUCAAGUGUCUUAUCUGCUUUAAGAUUUAACUACUUCCAACAAAAUUAUCAUAUAUUUUCCUAGCGAAUUUUACCAAAACAUAACUUAAAAUCAAAACUAAAAUACAUGCCUAUGGAGCCGAUAGUCUCUCCAUGAAUUAAUAUCCUAAAGUUAAGCGAUCCAAACUAAAUUCUCUUCCUAUCUUCUAUUCUUAUUAUGUCUUUUCUGUCUGUCCCAGUAUUAUUUCUGUCCUCACCUGUUUAUAAUUUAACUAUGCUGGUCUCCACUCACUAACCGUUAUCUAAUUCUUCUGUGUCUCUUUUAUCUUCUCUUCCUUGCUUAUGCUCUCCUCCUGCUACUUCCAACCCAUCAAGGUCUCAGCAGUGCAGGGGAGGACUUCUCCGUCUGCUGUCUUAUUCCAUAGCUACUUAAAUUUACACUACCCUUGGAUAAAAUAUUUUACUUCCAAUCUAUGAAACCCCAUAUUUUAACGUACUAUUUGACUAAUUUGACCCAAGAUUGCUUAAAAACCCCUUCAGUUUGUCUGCAAACCGGCCCAUUCUGUUUGCUAGGAAUACCCUGCCAUUAUACACAACUGUGUUUAAUGUGCACCGUCCCUGUAAAAAAAUAAAAUUAACUCCACCUGCAAUUCACUUUAAUGACUUGAUAUUUUUCCAUGCAAUGUUCAAUUCACCGGUGUUACUAAACAAUCAAUACCACGACUCAAUAACCAGAAUUUAUCACAGAACUUUUACAAUUCCAUUAUUCAGACCAGAAUCGCUUCCAGCCACAUACUCAUAGGAAAAAAUAUUACCUCUUUUCUAACAGCGUUCUGCCUUUCCUCUAUCGCAAGAUUAAAACCAAUGUUACAACUGUAUCUCUCAUUUCGGCUCCACAUACCUUAUGCAUCUUUCUUACCAUUAGUCCCAACUUUAACCCAUCCAAACUUCCAUCAAAUUCAUACUUCCUUCUCCACCUUGGACCGAAAUAAAUAUUUAUUUUAUAUCAUUUAACUCCAUGUAUCGCUCAUCUCCCGUUAAUUCCUGCACCUCCUUUAAGGUGUUUGUUAAAAUUACUAUCGUAGUUAUUCUGCUCCUUUUCCCACUCUAGAAUUUUUAGAAGGAGUAUUCGUAUGAAUCUUAAAUUAUAUUUUAUUCUAUGUGUUGUUUUUUUUGUUGGUCAAACCCUAACAAUCUAAAUGCAAAUAAAUACCUGCAAUCUUCCGCCAGGGGUACACUAAAAAAAUGCUCCACACAAGUCAAUCACGGUAAAGUAUUUGGCAUCAUGGGGAACAUUAGUCAACAGUGUGUGAGGGUUUGGACCUUCCGCAGGGCAAUCCUGUGCAAUAUCCCUUCUUCGUCUUCAGGCUUCAUAGGAUACUGGGCUGAUCCAUGGGGGUUUAGCAUCCGGGUUUAACUUUGAUGUUCACAGGACUUGCUGAUUUUACUAGCCCAACAUCUGUAUCAUGUUGUGACCAUACCUCUGGUGGUAUGAUGUUUUCCAUUUCUUCUCUAAGUUCACUGAUCAAAUCCCAUUCCUUCACCCAACACUACCUGUUGGCCUGCACUGACCUCUAUUUCCCUAGGAACACCAGUCAUCAUUGUAGUGUUUAUUAUCUUGAUAAAUGCCUUAUCUUCUGAAUGGGAAAAAAUCAACGGAUUGUCUGUUUCAUCCCAUCUCUUUCUCUUAGCUUUCUUCAUCAUAGGUUCCUAGAUCCCUUGAUGUGAACUCCUGAUUUACCAGCGAUGUGAUGUGAGGGACAGAGUCGGAGACGUUGAACCAUUUUUUGCACAAAUUCAGAUCCGUCUCCGUCCAUCACAUCCAUGGCCGCUCCCUGUUUCUCCAAUGAUGACAUACUGAGACAUCAUUGGUGCUUUCCUAGCAUUUGCCCCCAUAGUCCAUAGUUGCUCUAACACGGGAUCCUGAUGAGGGUCAUAUUGCAUUGUGCAGUGAUAUUCAGAUUUUGCUCCCCUCGCUGCUUUAAGCAUUUGGGCUCGAAUGAAUCUGCCCCAUCUGCUUACAGUUCUGUCUAUAUCUGCCUCAAUGCCUCCCGACCAAUAUACGUUAGCUGUUUCUCCUGUAGCUAUCACUGGUAAUUGUAGUCCUAUUCUUUCUAUUAAUACCCCCUCGGGAGAACAUUUAAUUUGCAUUCCCAUUUUGCAUAGAGCAUCCCUUCCUAGCAGAUUAACGGGUCUUUGAUCCGAUACUAAUAUUGGAAUUGUGGCUGAUUUAUCAUCAGCAGUCAGACGAAUUGGAGCAGUCAUUGGAAUUAGCUGCGUAUUUCCCGAGAAUCCUAUUGUUUUGGCAUAUUUACCGGACAUGGGGAGAUGAGAGGCGUAAUUUGAACUUACACAUGUGUAAGUGGCUCCAGUAUUUAUCAUCAUGGGUGUGCCUCUGUUCUCUAUUUGAACCUGCAGCAUAGGUUCUUGGUCAGCUCUUGUGGUUAUCACUGGGAACUGACCCUCCCCUGUAGGAUUCUCUGGGCAUCCCUAGUAUGUUUGGUUAGGCCCUGACCAUGGGUUCACAGGGCCCGAAGGUUGGCUUUGGUUGCCGGGCCAUCCACCAUUCCCGUUUGUAUGCGGCUGCCAGCCACCUGGAUUGUUGUUUGUUGGUGGCCGCCUGUUGUUUGUGUUUCCUCCAGUCAGAUCCUGCCAGGGGUUUGUAGGGCAUUCUCGUCUGGAGUGUCCUGAUUGGUGGCAACCCCAACAGACACCAGGUGGCCCCCUAGGGUUCCUGGGUCCCUUUCUCUGAUCUGCCUGUGUAUUUUUCUGUUGUUUAUUUCCACCAUUCCAAUUAGGGGGCUGUGUGUAUACAUUUACUACUAGCAGUACGGUAGGCAUUUGGGCCCGCCUGGGGGUUGACGGUUGCGGCCCUCCUGGGGAAACGGCAGACAUUGUUCCUACCUCGGGCACAGGGGUGGUUACUGAGGCAUGGACUUUCUUCUUUCCUUUGUUGGUUAAUUCAUCCAGCUGCAACUGGGCCAGCUUUCUCUGAAUGUCUUUUCCUUGUUCAAUCUGUCUCUGUUCGUCCUUCCUGUGUUUUUCCACGGCAUGAAUCACAUAGUCACAGAACUCUUUGUAAGGUUUUGAAGUAAGCCCCACCACAUCCUCCAGUCUGUUCCUUACCGGCUCGGGCAUGGCUUCCAUCACAGAAGUUCGGAACAUUGCUGUCAUUAGUUCAUUUCCUUCUGGAUCUUGUUCUGUUUCCAUUCUCCAUCUUUCCAAAUGUCCAUGUAAGUACGUGGCCGGGUUUUCUGUAGCUCCAAUAGCUUCACCUCUCAGAGCUUUGAGGUCAAACUUCGUUGGGUAUGCUGCCCUUAAUGCACGCCAGACGGCAGCUCUAUACCUGUCGAACAUCAGUCCAUCCUUCGUCACCUCCCAAUCUGUGCCGUUGAUCGCACCAUCCUGCAUGAUUUCUCUCAGUUUCUGCACGCUCGUCACCCUCCCUAGCAAUGCCUUUAUGUCACCCACCACCAGCAAUUUCCCCAUCGUGUAUUCUUCAAAGGUUCUGAUCCACUUCCCUGCUCCCUCAUGGAGAUCUGGCAAGCGGAAAACCAACCCCUCCAUGUCCUGUGCAGCCCAUGGUAUAUAGUGUCCUUGCUCUCCUUUUAUCAGGAUCUGCCACUGUUUUUCAUAAUAACCAGAUUCUUUCCUAGACCCAUUCCUACGAGCCCUGCAAUAUUUCCCUGCAGGCUCAUUUCUCAGGCUCUCAUUCAUACUACGGGCCAAGGCCUCAUCCUGUCUUUCUUGCCUUCUUAUGUUUUCUUCGUGUGUUGAUUUUGACCGUCCCAGUUUCUCUUCUAUUCUUUGUGCCACUAUUUGUCCUUCUCUCUCUAUUUGUCCCCUACAGGAUGGAUCAUUCUCUUCCUCUUCCUCUUCCGCCUCGCUCGGACUAUUACCUGAUGCCCAUUCUGCUAGUGUGUUUUGGCUUUUCCUGGAGUUGCCCUCCGUUUGGUCUUUUGUUAUUUUUGUUUGCAGCUCUGACGUCUCCCUUUCUCCUAUUUCCGUUUCCAUUGCUGUUAGGGCUUUCCUCAGGCCACUAUAGCAAUCGAAACCUUCUUCUUUUGUUCCUAUAUGCUUCAUAGUUCUUUUCUUGCCUUGUUCUGUUGAAUGUGAAGGUGCACACGUUGCUCUAGGUGUGGUGAUCCCUUCCUUUUCUUCCGUCACUUCCACUUCCCCUUUUAUUUCCACGUGUCCAGUUAUCAUGGGAAACUGUCCAUCGGAAUACGGCGGGGGGCUGGUCCCCCACUCCGUUUUCUCUUUGCUUGUGUUAUCGUUCUUCUUUAGUACUUCUCUUGCUGUCUUCAUGCUUUGUAACAAACCCACUCUUUCUUCCUUAAACAUUUUUAGUAUUUCGUUUUCUCUUUCUCGUUUAUUUUUCCUUUUUUGUUUCUUGUCCUUGGGUUUAUAGUUCUUUAUCAGCGUUUCCAUUUCCUCACACACAGUGACAUCCAACGUUCCCACUGCGGGCCAUUUGGUGUUUAAUUUUCUGGUGCGUUUUUCCCAUUUUAUAGACGUUUUUAUUAUUUCUUUUUUACUUAGGGGGUAUCUAGUCCCCAAAAUCUCUACCGGUGUCCUAUUCAUUUUAAUGAUGGUCUAUAGUUUAGCCUUAACUUGUUAAAUCCUCCUUGAUAUUUUUUUUCCUUUUGUUUUUAAUUCUUUGUAAUGUCUAUCCUUCUCAUUUAUAUUUAUUCACUCACUUUAUCCUAUCCUUAUUAUUACUUAUUGUUUUGCUCCUGUUUCACUCUAUUUAUUCUCAGUCCUAGGUCCUACUUUACCAGAUUUCUCCAGACCCCCCCCCCUCUCUCUCUCUCUCUCUCUCUGUCUCUCUCUCUGUCUCUCUCUCUCUCUCUCUCUCCUAUUGUAAUCUGACUCUUCUCGUCCUUUCCCAGGCUGCAGCUCCAUUAGGGUCCUGCAGCUUCAAAGUGUUUAGUUGGCCACUGCUUCCCCCAUACUGUCCUUUAUGGUGCAGUAAUAUCUCUAGUAGGUUCUAUAGACCUAUACCAUGAUGCUGUUCUCUAUGUAUUUGUUGAUACUAUUUAUUCUAAAUAGCCUGAGUUAAUUGUUUUUACCAUAUAGUAUAUAUAUCUUAUGCCUUAUCUGUAGGUUUUAAUCGCUCUACUUCACACACCAGUAUAUACUAUAUGUGGCUUAUUUAAUACUUUAUUCAACAAGUUCUAUGCAUUCCAGAAUAGUUAUUUAACACCUGUAUUAUGUAAAUGUUCUACCUUUUCAUAGUUUCCUUUUAAUCAAUAUCCUUUCAUUUAUUUUUUUCUUCCCAGCAUGCUCUAUACGCAAUCCUUUUCCUAUUACACUCGAUCUAUUGUCACAGAAAGGCUUGCGCAUUCCUCCUCCGGACCGACCGACACACACACACACAAUCUUUAUUUCUCCCUGCCCUGUUUCACUCCCACUCCAGAGAAACUUUCACUCAUUCAAGGCCUUUAUUUUUCACUCAUUCAGAUUACCGACCCCGUUAGCUAGACGGAGCGUUUUAUCUGUAGGUGGUGAACCUAAUCGGGUCGACGUUUUCCUGCUCUCUAACUAUUCACCCAGACCGACCCCCAUCUUGGGGCGAUAUUGUGAAUUUACUUAUUUAUUUGUUUUGCCCGAUCAGCGCAGGCGCAAGCCCCCUCCGCUAAACACCCGACACCAGCAAAGUUCACAGUUUACCACACUUUUUUUAGCCCUCACAGAUGUACAUAUUUAAUUACAUUUAACAACCCCCCAAAAUUCAUGGAUGCAUGCAGUUCUAUUGAAUUCAAAAGCUCUUAGUAUUUCUGUGUUUUUAGGAGUUUUUAAAGAGAGACCUACGUGACGUCCCCUCCGCUGAGACAGAAUCCCUGAAGCAAUCUACACAAACAUUUCAAACUAUCGUAAGAACAAGCUUACCUGUUUAUAGUUGGGUGGCCACCCGUUUGUGAGAUUGUCCAGAGAAACCGUCACCAGCCAAGAACGACACUGUCCGAGGUCUCUUCGAUCUCCUGGCAAGCUCGCCAAAUAUGUAGUGGAAAAUUGUCUUAAGAAUAUAAUACUCUUGCAAGAACUUUGUGAAUUCAAUAUAGACUUUAAUACAGAGUUGCAAAGCCGAGCCGGUCGAUGGAUCAACUGCCUUUCCUGAGCAUCGGCUCUGCUUUUAUACACAUAGAGUAUGGGAGUACAUUCCAUAUGUAAAAGUUACUUCCCUCACGCCCAAUAACGCUUGUUCACGCCCAAUAACGCCCAUCUCUUGAUUCCUUUUUAGGUUAUAAUGGUGGCAGGACCUCUUCAUGUUACACACAAAGAAAUGCAUUGUAUGUUCAGGUUUCAGCCCCUUCCUAUGUCGUUCUGAC